rnacentral:rRNA from 1 species
GACGUAGGGGGCCAGCGUUGUUCGGAAUUACUGGGUGUAAAGGGUUCGUAGGCGGUGCGGCAAGUUGGGAGUGAAAUCUCUGGGCUUAACCCAGAGGCUGCUUCCAAAACUGCUGUGCUUGAGUGUGGGAGAGGCGCGUGGAAUUGCAGGUGUAGCGGUGAAAUGCGUAGAUAUCUGCAGGAACACCCGUGGCGAAAGCGGCGCGCUGGACCACUACUGACGCUGAGGAACGAAAACUAGGGGAGCAAACAGG